GAUCCUGGCUCAGAUUGAACGCUGGCGGCAUGCCUUACACAUGCAAGUCGAACGGUAACAGGCCGCAAGGUGCUGACGAGUGGCGAACGGGUGAGUAAUACAUCGGAACGUGCCCGAUCGUGGGGGAUAACGGAGCGAAAGCUUUGCUAAUACCGCAUACGAUCUACGGAUGAAAGCAGGGGACCGCAAGGCCUUGCGCGGACGGAGCGGCCGAUGGCAGAUUAGGUAGUUGGUGGGAUAAAAGCUUACCAAGCCGACGAUCUGUAGCUGGUCUGAGAGGACGACCAGCCACACUGGGACUGAGACACGGUCCAGACUCCUACGGGAGGCAGCAGUGGGGAAUUUUGGACAAUGGGCGCAAGCCUGAUCCAGCCAUUCCGCGUGCAGGAUGAAGGCCUUCGGGUUGUAAACUGCUUUUGUACGGAACGAAACGGCGAGCUCUAAUACAGUUUGCUAAUGACGGUACCGUAAGAAUAAGCACCGGCUAACUACGUG
rnacentral:rRNA from 1 species